rnacentral:lncRNA from 10 species
UUGAUUUGCUCAAAUGCCUUCUGUAUUUGUAUUUUUUCCUUUAUAAAAAAUAAAGAAGAAAAUCUCAGGGAAAAGCUCUUUCCUAGGACAUUAUUUUGGAGAUUGGUUUCUUUCUCUGGGGGAGUAAAACCUCAUUGCCAUCUUUCACAGGAUAAUUUUUUGGAAUAUAAGCAGGAGAUUCUAAAUUUAUUGUCUUGUGCUUUGUUUGGCUUUAGAUUAAAAAAAAAACCCAAACGUUUGUUGAUGUAAACUGAAAAUAAAUUUGGAAUGAGCUGUGUGCACUUGGAAAUGAGAAGGUCUGUCCUGCACCAUGAAGGGCUUUGUGUGCAUCCAUGGGUUGCUUCUGCAUGCAGAAUGAGACUGGAACAAAAAAGAACCAUUUAAAACACAGGAUCCAGGGGAUUCAGGAUUUUAAAUUGAAGAUUGAUCAUACAAGCUGGAAGACGUCCCAUGACACUUUAUUUGAAAUUGGAACAUCAGAAUUUGGUUGGGUCUAUCUUUUACUAACUCUGUACCAUGAAAAAAUUAUUUAAUAUUUCUGAACUGUGUAAAGAAUAAAAUUAGAUUAUGAAUUCAAUCUGUUGCUGCAU